rnacentral:rRNA from 1 species
GAUGAACGCUGGCGGCGCGCCUAAUACAUGCAAGUCGAGCGAAUGGAUUAAGAGCUUGCUCUUAUGAAGUUAGCGGCGGACGGGUGAGUAACACGUGGGUAACCUGCCCAUAAGACUGGGAUAACUCCGGGAAACCGGGGCUAAUACCGGAUAACAUUUUGAACCGCAUGGUUCGAAAUUGAAAGGCGGCUUCGGCUGUCACUUAUGGAUGGACCCGGGUCGCAUUAGCUAGUUGGUGAGUUAACGGCUCACCAAGGCAACGAUUCGUAGCCGACCUGAGAGGGUGAUCGGCCACACUGGGACUGAGACACGGCCCAGACUCCUACGGGAGGCAGCAGUAGGGAAUCUUCCGCAAUGGACGAAAGUCUGACGGAGCAACGCCGCGUGAGUGAUGAAGGCUUUCGGGUCGUAAAACUCUGUUGUUAGGGAAGAACAAGUGCUAGUUGAAUAAGCUGGCACCUUGACGGUACCUAACCAGAAAGCCACGGCUAACUACGUGCCAGCCGCCGCCGUAA